AGAGCCCACUGGUGGAAACACUUGGGUGUAGGAGGGCUGGAUCUCUCCAGUCAACUGCGGAAGCGGGGACUGUCUUGGGAUUGGCGCCUGGGAGUGCCCUGGAAUGGAGACACCGCCGGGAUCUGGCGCUCACCAAGUCCCUAAUGGGAAGAAACACUCGGGAGUCCGCGAUGCUUCCUUCUUCUGCCUCCCCCACGCCCGUGAGAAAGCAAAGUUGGGGAGGGUGAAGCAGGAGGCCAGAAGCCCCUCGCUCGCUCUCCCACCCGCCCCACCACUGCGGCCCGCGCGGCACCAGGCUAGAGACGGGCUCCCGGGCAUUAUUCAAAAGCAAGGCGGCCUUUUGUCCUGGGCACCCGAGGACUUGGUGAGAAGCCAGCUGGGCGGCCUGGGAUCCUCUGGCCCUUUGCUGGGCUGGAAGCUCCAGACAAUCGUGGGUUGUCCUUAGGGAGAUGGCUGGUGGUGCCCUUGGGUCUAAGCUUGAGAACUGUGAUUCGGCUUGCUCUGCCCUCUCUCCGACUCCACUGCAGGCAGAUUUAGGACGCGUCUGAGAUCUAACCCUCUCCCGGUGCUUCUCCCACCCGCUCCCUGGAGGUUCUGCUAAGAAAGAUGAAGGAACAAUCCUAGUCAACCAAGCAGAUCCCCUGGAAUCCAGUUCCUCCUACCCUCCAACUCCACCACACUGAUCUAACGUGGUUUAAUGGCGAAGGGAAAGUCUGUUAUUUGCCCAAAUGCUUCAUUUUUGUCGCGCGCGCGCGCGCGCUUGUGGCUUUGUAACACCAU
ensembl:lincRNA Gm11535 predicted gene 11535